rnacentral:rRNA from 1 species
AAUGAACGCUGGCGGCGUGCCUAACACAUGCAAGUCGAACGAGAAAGCCCGCAAGGGUGAGUACAGUGGCGCACGGGUGAGUAAUACAUAGGAAUCUGCCUCUGAGUGAAGAAUACCCUAGAGAAAUUUAGGUUAAUACUGCAUAAGCCCAGAAAUGGGGAAAGGUGGCCUCAAGCUACCGCUGAGAGAUGAGCCUAUGGCCUAUUAGCUAGUUGGUAGGGUAAAAGCCUACCAAGGCGAGGAUGGGUAGCCGGCCUGAGAGGGUGUACGGCCACACUGGAACUGAGACACGGUACAGACUCCUACGGGAGGCAGCGGUGGGGAAUCUUGCACAAUGGGCGCACGCCUGAUGCAGCGACGCCGCGUGAGGGAUGACGGCCUUCGGGUUGUAAACCUCUUUCAGCAGCGACGAAGCGCAAGUGACGGUAGGUGCAGAAGAAGGACCGGCCAACUACGUGCCAGCCGCCGCCGUAA